ensembl:lncRNA
AAGAGAAAACAAUCUUUGAUUAGAUUGAAAAAGCUGAAACAGGGGUAGGAGAGAGAGAGGGAAUUUUAACUCCAUAAAUAAUAUCGGAAAUAAAAAAAAUGCCAUUCAUCUGAUGCCCAAAGAUAGCAAUUGCUUGACUUUGUUCUGUAGGAUAAUGUUAUCUCAACAUGAGGUGAGAGGUAUAGGAAAUUCGCAGAGGACUGCAGAGCCUCUCGGGUGAUCAUCUCUGGGAUUCCCCAGGGCUCCACAGCAUUUCUACAAAGCCUAGGCUGCCGUUUCCUAUGCAUACCAUUCUGAGCCAAAAAGCAAGCAUGGUGCUAGGCAUAAAUUCUGGAGAAAUAUAGGCUUUGGGAGACCAAUAUCAAGUUUGAUUCCCCCGUAUGAAAUUAAGUAUUCCUCCUCAACCAUUGGCAGUAGAAACGUUUUUGUCAACCGUAUCAAUAUUAUGUCUUUAAUGAAAGAGAGAAACUAUUUGAUGUUACUUCACUCGUUGAGUGAAGAGCUAGAGACAGAAACUAUAAGUGCAUUUUAAAUUGGCUAACCUCAGAUGACUAGAAGGCCAAGUGAAAAUGUCUCCACAGCAUCAUCCAAUAACCCAGCUGGCCAGUCACACAGACAUGACUUAGAAUCGCUGAGCACGCAGUUGCUUCUGCUCCGGGGCCAUUUGUGGGUGAGUGGAGUGGGAGAAAAGAGGAAUCUCUCCUUGCAAAGCUGUCCCCUUUCUUUCUUUCCGCUCACGGUGAGCUUUCCAUCCACUCAGAUGAAUGCACGUGAAGGCUGCAAAGUCUGCAAGACUUGGCUGAUUAGCAUCUAAAUCCUUUGCCCCUAUCUCCUCUUUCCCAAACUUAAAUCAAUAUUUUUAUGUGUACAUGUGUAUCUACUUUCUCUUAAUUGACUGUGUGUUAAUCUUAUUUCCUCCAUUAAAUUGUGAAAUUCCUGAGGGUAAAAACCAUGUCUAAUCUAGUCUGUAAAUUUCCCUUAGCACCCUGUUCAGAAUGCCGCGCUCAAGCUAAAUAAAAUCACGGCUCAGAGAGAAACACCAGGGCCCCCGGCACUGCAGGCUCAAAGGAGUCCAUGAGUUCCAGGCAGCUUGAGGCCUCAGCUGAAGCAGAAAAGGACCAUAAGCAGAAUCUAUAAAUGGUGAAAGCAAACUGUCAACUGGAAUAUAUUCAGAAAUCCGCUCAGCCUAAUGCAUGGGUUCAAGAACAAACAUCAGAUUCAUGUUCUCUCCAAGAAUAUUCUCUCUUCAAAACAUCAGACUCAAAUCUAUUGGUUGGUUUAGAAUCUGCCUUCCAAUGCAGAGGACACAGGUUCAAGCCCUUGUCCAGGAACUGGUCCAGAACAUGCUUCCAGGCAACUGAGCCUGUGCACCACAACUAUUGAAGCUCACGUAGGCUAGCGCCUGUGCUCCACAACAAAAGAAGCCACCACAACAAGCCCACACACUGCAGCUAGAGAGUAGCCUCUGCUUGCUAAAACUGGAGAAAGCCCAUGCACAGCAAUGACAAGCCCAUGUACUGCAUCAAAGACCCACACAGUCAGAAAAUAAUUUGUCUUUUGUCUAUCAGUCACUAAAAAAGUUAUAAUAAAAUC